UACGUAGGGGGCGAGCGUUGUCCGAAGUUACUGGGCGUAAAGCGCGCGUAGGCGGGGGGUUAAGUGAGAGGUGAAAGGCUGGGGCUCAACCUCAUGCAGUGCCUCUCAUACUGGCCUUCUUGAGGGCGGUAGGGAGAAGUGGAAUGGCUGGUGUAGUGGUGAAAUGCGUAGAUAUCAGUCGGAACACCGGUGGCGAAGGCGGCUUCUUGGGCCGUUCCUGACGCUGAUGCGCGAAAGCUGGGGGAGCGAACGGG
rnacentral:rRNA from 1 species